rnacentral:rRNA from 1 species
GACGUAGGGCGCGAGCGUUGUCCGGAUUUAUUGGGCGUAAAGAACUCGUAGGCGGCUUGUUGCGUCAGCUGUGAAAACCCGCAGCUCAACUGUGGGCUUGCGGUCGAUACGGGCAGGCUAGAGUUCGGUAGGGGAGACUGGAAUUCCUGGUGUAGCGGUGAAAUGCGCAGAUAUCAGGAGGAACACCGGUGGCGAAGGCGGGUCUCUGGGCCGAUACUGACGCUGAGGAGCGAAAGCGCGGGGAGCGAACAGG